rnacentral:rRNA from 1 species
UACGUAGGGGGCUAGCGUUGUUCGGAUUUACUGGGCGUAAAGCGCACGUAGGCGGCUCGUUAAGUCGGGGGUGAAAUCCUGGAGCUCAACUCCAGAACUGCCUUCGAUACUGGCGAUCUUGAGUCCGGAAGAGGUGAGUGGAACUCCUAGUGUAGAGGUGAAAUUCGCAGAUAUUCGGAAGAACACCAGUGGCGAAGGCGGCUCACUGGUCCGGUACUGACGCUGAUGUGCGAAAGCGUGGGGAGCAAACAGG